CGAUGACACACUCAAAACAAGUACUGAGCUCCAAUAGACAGUGGUUCAACACUGACAGAGGAUUCACGACUGCAGGCAGACAUUUACCUUGACAUUGGCAUCAUCACUGCUGUUGUCAUUGUGGCUGUGAUUGUCUUUGCCUUGAUAGGAAUGGCUGAGCAGC